CUUCAAUAGGCGGCAAGAGGGAGGAUCAUUACUGUGAUUUAGUACUACACUGCGUGAGCGGAACGAAAACAAAAACACCUAAAAUGUGGAAUAUAGCAUAUAGUCGACAAGAGAAAUCUACGAAAAACAAACAAAACUUUCAACAACGGAUCUCUUGGUUCUCGCAUCGAUGAAGAGCGCAGCGAAAUGCGAUACCUAGUGUGAAUUGCAGCCAUCGUGAAUCAUCGAGUUCUUGAACGCACAUUGCGCCCCUCGGCAUUCCGGGGGGCAUGCCUGUUUGAGCGUCGUUUCCAUCUUGCGCGUGCGCAGAGUUGGGGGAGCGGAGCGGACGACGUGUAAAGAGCGUCGGAGCUGCGACUCGCCUGAAAGGGAGCGAAGCUGGCCGAGCGAACUAGACUUUUUUUCAGGGACGCUUGGCGGCCGAGAGCGAGUGUUGCGAGACAACAAAAAGCUCGACCUCAAAUCAGGUAGGAAUACCCGCUGAACUUAAGCAUAUCAAAA
rnacentral:rRNA from 1 species